GUCGAUGCACUCCCUCUUCUUCCCUUCAAAAUCAACACUUAAAUUAUUAUUAUUACUAUGAUUAUGAUUAUGAAUAUGAAUAUUAUUAUUAUUAUUAUUAUUAUUAUUAUUAU